AAGUCGUAGCGACUUGAAACAAGAAGCAUUGGAAAGAGAAAAUUACCGCGCUUCCGACGGCUGCGAAAUCAUCCUUCUGUGCAAUAAGGAUCAAACAGUGUAAUCAUGUAGAUCUUGCCAGAGUUUGCAGCCACACAGUAAAGCUGAUUUCAAGGGAUACAGUUUUACAAGUGCCGUACCGAAGGAUCCGGUUCGGCCUGAGCAAAGUCGGCUCGAAGAAUGUCGCAGAACGUUGCCGGCUCUGAGUCCGCGGUGUUUUGGUGAGUGAAAAAAUAUGUGCAAAAUCUGUUAAAUACAAAAUCUUGAGAUAUGUUUAUAAUGUCUCAAGAAGAUCAAUGCGAUUUACUUAGCUUGUUUCUCGCAAGUUGGGUUUUGUUUGUGAGUGUUAAUAACGUCCGCUAAUAAAUACUGCUCGAAAUAAUCUGGAGAUUGCUUCUUUAAAUGCCUGCAAUGUCGGAUAUUUAUCAAUGAAAAUUUUCUUGACUAAAAUAAUGAUAAAACAAUAACCUC